rnacentral:rRNA from 1 species
UACGUAGGGGGCAAGCGUUAUCCAGAUUUACUGGGCGUAAAGGGCGCGUAGGCGGCCCGCUAAGUCGAACGUGAAAUCCCCGAGCUCAACUCGGGAACUGCGUCCGAUACUGGCGGGCUUGAAUCCGGGAGAGGGAUGCGGAAUUCCAGGUGUAGCGGUGAAAUGCGUAGAUAUCUGGAGGAACACCGGUGGCGAAGGCGGCAUCCUGGACCGGCAUUGACGCUGAGGCGCGAAAGCUAGGGGAGCAAACGGG